rnacentral:rRNA from 1 species
GCUCAAAUUUGAAAUCUGCCAACAGGCCGAGUUGUAAUUUGUAGAUGGCUACACUGCAUAAUAGUAGAUGCUCAAGUUCUUUGGAAAAAGACAUCAUGGAGGGUGACAAUCCCGUGAGGCAUGUUACUAGGAGCAUAUAGUGGGCUUUCUAAGAGUCGAGUUGUUUGGGAAUGCAGCUCAAAGUGCGUGGUGAAUACCAUGUAAAGCUAAAUAUGGACGAGAGACCGAUAGCGAACAAGUACUGUGAAGGAAAGAUGAAAAGCACUCCGAAAGGAGAGUGAAAUAGUACGUGAAAUUGUUAAAGUGGAAGGGCUUGAGAUCAGAAUUGGUAGUUUGGGUUCCACGUCCUCUUGGGGGCGUGUACUCCCUUUCCACCGGGCCAGCGGGAGUUUCGUCUCUUGGGUAAAAGCAGUGGAAUGUAGCAGCUUGUCUGUAUUAUAGCCUCUGUUCAUACAAGACGUCGAGACUUGAUUUGUUGGCGUAAUGAUCUCUAGCCACCCGUCUUGAAACACGGACCAA